rnacentral:rRNA from 1 species
UGGGGAAUAUUGGACAAUGGGCGCAAGCCUGAUCCAGCAAUGCCGCGUGGAUGAAGAAGGUCUUCGGAUUGUAAAGUCCUUUCGGCGGGGACGAUGAUGACGGUACCCGCAGAAGAAGCCCCGGCUAACUUCGUGCCAGCAGCCGCGGUAAUACGAAGGGGGCUAGCGUUGCUCGGAAUUACUGGGCGUAAAGGGCGCGUAGGCGGACCAUUCAGUCAGGCGUGAAAGCCCCGGGCUCAACCUGGGAAUUGCGCUUGAGACGUGUGGUCUUGAGGACGGGAGAGGGUGGUGGAAUUCCCAGUGUAGAGGUGAAAUUCGUAGAUAUUGGGAAGAACACCGGUGGCGAAGGCGGCCACCUGGCCCGGUCCUGACGCUGAGGCGCGAAAGCGUGGGGAGCAAACAGG